GCGCGAAAACUUUACAAUGCGGGAAACCGUGAUAAGGGAAUCUCGAGUGCCAGCAUAUAAUGUUGGCUGUCCAGAUGCCUAAAAAGCAUCUGUUAGCAAGGGCCGGGCAAGACCGGUGCCAGCCGCCGCGGUAACACCGGCGGCCCGAGUGGUAACCGCUAUUAUUGGGUCUAAAGGGUCUGUAGCCGGCCAGGUAAGUCCCUUGGGAAAUCUGGCAGCUCAACUGUCAGGCUGCUAGGGGAUACUGUUUGGCUUGGGACCGGGAGAGGUGAGAGGUACCUUGGGGGUAGGGGUGAAAUCUUGUGAUCCUCGGGGGACCACCAGUGGCGAAGGCGUCUCACCAGAACGGGUCCGACGGUAAGGGACGAAAGCUAGGGGCACGAACCGGAUUAGAUACCCGGGUAGUCCUAGCCGUAAACGAUGCUCGCUAGGUGUCAGUCACGGUGCGACCGUGAUUGGUGCCGUAGGGAAGCCGUGAAGCGAGCCACCUGGGAAGUAUGGCCGCAAGGCUGAAACUUAAAGGAAUUGGCGGGGGAGCACUACAACGGGUGGAGCCUGCGGUUUAAUUGGAUUCAACGCCGGAAAUCUCACCGGGGGCGACAGCAAUAUGAAGGUCAGGCUGAAGACCUUACCGGAUUAGCU
rnacentral:rRNA from 1 species